rnacentral:rRNA from 1 species
GCAGUCGACGGUACAGGAAGCAGCUUGCUGUUUUGCUGACGAGUGGCGGACGGGUGAGUAAUGUCUGGGAAACUGCCCGAUGGAGGGGGAUAACCACUGGAAACGGUAGCUAAUACCGCAUAACGUCGCAAGACCAAAGAGGGGGACCUUAGGGCCUCUUGCCAUCGGAUGUGCCCAGAUGGGAUUAGCUAGUAGGUGGGGUAACGGCUCACCUAGGCGACGAUCCCUAGCUGGUCUGAGAGGAUGACCAGCCACACUGGAACUGAGACACGGUCCAGACUCCUACGGGAGGCAGCAGUGGGGAAUAUUGCACAAUGGGCGCAAGCCUGAUGCAGCCAUGCCGCGUGUAUGAAGAAGGCCUUCGGGUUGUAAGUCNUUUCAGCGGGGAGGAAGGGAGUAAAGUUAAUACCUUUGCUCAUUGACGUUACCCGCAGAAGAAGCACCGGCUAACUCCGUGCCAGCAGCCGCGGUAAUACGGAGGGUGCAAGCGUUAAUCGGAAUUACUGGGCGUAAAGCGCACGCAGGCGGUCUGUCAAGUCGGAUGUGAAAUCCCCGGGCUCAACCUGGGAACUGCAUUCGAAACUGGCAGGCUAGAGUCUUGUAGAGGGGGGUAGAAUUCCAGGUGUAGCGGUGAAAUGCGUAGAGAUCUGGAGGAAUACCGGUGGCGAAGGCGGCCCCCUGGACAAGACUGACGCUC